rnacentral:rRNA from 1 species
GACAGAGGGGGCAAGCGUUGCUCGGAAUUACUGGGCGUAAAGCGUGCGUAGGCGGUGAGGUAAGUCUGUCGUGAAAGCCCCGGGCUCAACCUGGGAAUGGCGAUGGAUACUGGCUCGCUAGAGUGCGGUAGAGGAGAGUGGAAUUCCCGGUGUAGCAGUGAAAUGCGUAGAGAUCGGGAGGAACAUCAGUUGCGAAGGCGGCUCGCUGGACCAGCACUGACACUGAGGCACGAAAGCGUGGGGAGCAAACAGG